UGCUGCGUAGUUUAGUUGGUUAGAGCGUGGUACUGAUAAUGCCAAGGUUGCAGGUUCGAUCCCCAUAUGUGACAG